AUGAAAAACACAAUCCAAACCUUCUCUCCUGUCAACAGUGGCCAGCCCCCACAACUACGAGAUGCUCAAGGAGGAGCACGAGGUGGCUGUGCUGGGGGCGCCCCACAACCCUGCUCCCCACAAUCCUGCUCCCCGGAUGUCCGCCAUGAUCCACAUCCGCAGUGAGACCUCCGUGCCCGACCACAUCGUCUGGUCCCUGUUCAACACCCUCUUCAUGAACCCCUGCUGCCUGGGCUUCAUAGCAUUUGCCUACUCCAUGAAGUCUAGGGACAGGAAGAUGGUUGGCGACCUGACUGGGGCCCAGGACUAUGCCUCCACCGCCAAGUGCCUAAACAUCUGGGCCCUGAUUUUGGGCAUCCUCAUGACCAUUCUGCUCAUCAUCAUCCCAGUAUUGAUCUUCCAAGCCUAUUGACAGAUCAGGAGACAUCAUUCAGGCCAGGAGCUCUGCCCAUAACCUGUAUCCCACGUGCUCCACCUUCCAUUCCUCGCCCUGCCCCUGGAGCCGAGUCCUGUAUCAGCCCUUUAUCCUCACACACUUUUCUACAAUGGCAUUCAAUAAAGUGUACAUGUUU